rnacentral:misc_RNA from 1 species
UUUCCGUAGGUGAACCUGCGGAAGGAUCAUUGACAAAAGUGGUGCUUUACGCACCUAGUGUCGCCAAAAAAAAAUGGCAACGAACGACAUCGGGAAAGGCUCGUACUUUCCUCGUCGCUGUCCGCGGUGGGCGGCCGGGCGGGUAGUCCCCCGGCAACCGCCGCUUCUCUUUUUCCUCUACAUUUUCCGCGUUUGGUUGGUUUGGCUGAUGAACAGAGGGCUACCUGGCGCUCGCGCUUUUGCGCUGCCAGGGCGUGCCCGAUUUGAACUUGACACAACUUUUAACAAUGGAUCUCUUGGCUCUC